UCUAAAGCACAAUAUAAUUUACAAUUCCAAUUAUGCCCUCCAAAACUUUAACCCUUCACCCGGAUCCAUCAUCAGCCGUCCAUUUUCUUUCAAUUCUUCACACGGAUCGUGAUCUGAUGGAUGAUUUUGUUUUCACACGGAUCCACCUUUACCCUUCCAAAUUAGGGUUUCAGAUCUCAUCUCAUUCCUAUCUGCCUCCUUCUCUCUCUCUCUCUCUCUCUCUCUCUCUCUCUCUCGGUGAUUCAGAAACCCCAGCAUUCCUACCACUCGACAAUCGUCAGACAUGCGCUGGGUUCGUCAACGAUGGUGGCUGUGGGUGGAAGAUGAUGACGUUGGUUGGUGGCCAGAUUGGUACCAUCCUUACCAGAUCUACCUUUUGUUUGUUAUUUCAAUCUCCACAUGUCUCUCUUAGAAAGCUUGCUUUGGGCACUAUAAAUCAGUUCAUUCUGUUGAUGCCACCUGUUUUGUUUAUGUCUAUGGAUACAUACCUGCAAGGUUUAUUUGUUCUUGCUAUUGAUCCAUCAUCAGAAGUACGGAAAUUGGUUUGUUCGGCUUUUGUUCAGCUAAUUGAAGUUCGUCCGUCUUUCCUUGAGCCACAUUUAUGUAACGUAAUUGAAUACAUGCUACAAGUGAACAACGAUCCUGAUGAGGAAGUGUCACUUGAAGGCUGUGAAUUUUGGUCUGUGUUUUGUGAAGCACCGUUGCCACCUGAUAAUUUACGAUCAUUCUUGCCACGUCUGAUUCCCGUUCUGUUGUCAAACAUGGCUUAUGCCGACCAUGAUGAGUCACUACUUGAUGCGGAGGAGGAUGGUUCUCUUCUGGAGAGAGACCAGGUUCUGAUUUUUUUUAUCUAUUUAGAUCUCCUUAGGAUCGUUCUUAAACAUAUGAUUCUUGAACUAUUUUCUAAAUUUACAUUAGCUGUGCAGGAUUUGAAGCCGCAUUUCCAUUCGUCACGUUUUCAUGAAUACAAAUGACAUAUAUAUACACGCUAUAAUUGUAUAAGCAUUUCAGUAACUUAUGAAUUGGUUUCAGGGCUCUUAUUGGAUUUCUAUCAAAGCACUCCGAAGCUGAAGCCGCUGAAGCCCGGGACAAGAUAUGCAGAGCAAUACAAUACGGUUCAAAGUUCGUAAGUAAUGGCGAGCCGUUUUUGGGGGUUUAAUGGUUUGGCCGACUCUCUGCAACUGGAAUUUUGUUGAUCCGGCAUUUUGACUUUUUCAUGUUUUUUAUUAUCCAUUUUUGGAUUAUGUGGUUGAGUUGUGUAUUUUUAUAAUUCUCAUGAGCCUUAUAAAUUUUUUUAAAAAGCAUUAUACAAAUUGUUGAUAUUGAAAAGUUUCUUUUUUUUAAAUCAUUAUACAAAUUGUUGAUAUUGAAAGACAAACUUAAAAACAGUUCAAACCACCGGUUAGGCCCGUCUUGCUGAAUCAACCAACUCAGAUGGUAUGGUUUGCUGUUUUUUCAAAACUGCAUGCAUUUCGGCGCAAAAUUUUCAUUAAAACCGGCUGAAUUGCAUCGUGAACACCCCUAGCACUAAGAACAAUGGAAAAUUCUCUAUUUAUGCGGAAAUACCGACUACUAUUUGGACGUAUUUUUUUGUUAUUAUCUACCUGAUCAUGUAUCGGUUUUGUAUACCUACAGGUUCUCGUGCAGCGAUAACUAAAUGAAUUCUGAACCCGAUUUGGGAGGAAAUCAGAUCGCUCGCCGAGUCUGCAAAGAUUAUUACGUGAAGCAUCUGAUUGUGGAGAUGGCUCUUAACUGAAUAAUUGGGCUGGUGUUGACAAAGAUGGGUUUGUGAGGACUCUUAAGUGCCAAAUGACAAAGAUGAAACGAAUUCAUCUAGGAGUAGUUUAUCGAAGCAAUCUUCAUUGGAGAAAAAGAAUUUGCAUCAGAAGUAACAAUAUGUCAUGUUGGUCCAAAAAGUCUGUCUUUUUUAAAUUGAAUUUAUAAAUAAUUAGUGUUUUAGUAUGAUAAAAAAAAGAUACAUUACUACAAUGAUAAUCUACUCUUUUUGUUAUUUUUAAAAAACUAUGGGUGACUUUUGACUGUUUAACCCGCGAAUUU